GUAGUGAGAUAUAUUGUAAUCUUCAUCAUAAUAUCAUCGAAACUCCUUUCGAUGGAUUGAAAUAAUUUCAACACCACUCUUCGAGGAUCAUCGAUCAUCAAGACGAUGCCCGAUGAGUCUCACGAUCCACCAGUGAUACCUAGUAGUAUGUACUGGUAAUCUAGUAGAAUGAAAGUAUAAAUCCCUAGGUGCAGUUAUCAAAUGAUUCAGUCCUUCUAUUGUGAGUCCCGACAUGACUGAGGUUAUGGAGAACUCAUAGACCACAUUGUCAGUCAUAUGCU
rnacentral:lncRNA from 1 species